GAUGAACGCUAGCGGCAGGCUUAAUACAUGCAAGUCGAGGGGCAGCGCGGGUAGCAAUACCUGGCGGCGACCGGCAAACGGGUGCGGAACACGUACAGAACCUUCCUUUAAGCGGGGGAUAGCCCAUAGAAAUGUGGAUUAAUACCCCAUAGCAAUAUUUGAUGGCAUCAUUAGAUAUUUAAAGAUUUAUCACUUAAAGAUGGCUGUGCGGCUGAUUAGGAGUUGGUGCGGGUAACGCCCACCAAGCCAUCGAUCAGUAACUGGUGUGAGAGCACGACCAGUCACACGGGCACUGAGACACGGG
rnacentral:rRNA from 1 species